UAAUCUGGCCGUCCCUCUUUUUCCAAUUACUAAACGUCAGACCUCCUGAACUUUGACAGGAGCCUGAGUUCAGGUGGUUUUGACGUGUAGCGAUUCGCUCUAAUUUCCAAUGAGAUAUGAGUUGGGCGUCUCUUUAUCUCUGCUUUUGGUGUAUCGCACGGAAUAACAGCUACAUAGGAAUUUUACAACUUCUCGAAACUUCGAUGAAAACCUAUGCUGUCUCUUUCGGAAAAAUCGUAAACAUUGAUAGUCAUUGUUCAUAUGACUGUCAGUACUGACACAAUAAAUGUGAGUGUAUUGGUGAACCAGCAUUUCUUGUAGGGUUACUUGUAGAUAUAUACAAUGUGUAUAAUUUUGACGUGUCAACAUGUAAGUUCUUAUUUGAUAUAUACAUAUUUAAAUAACGAAUAAUUCUUUUAAAUAUAUCUAUAAUAAUUUUUAUUCAUUGUAUAUUUUUAUUAUUUCAGAUUUGGAUGUCGAGAAACACGUAGUGUAAUACAACAUACAAAGUAAUACAAUACUACAAAUAAGCAAUUCAUCAUACCCAACACUGUUACGUAAUGCUCAAUGACAAUACUGGCAACACAUUUGAAUAUUUUUGACAUGGACGGACCUAUUUUUACAAAGUUUCGUUGAAUAAGCAGUUUCUGGAUUUCACAUGGUUGCUUAAGUGAACCUUACAUUUUACUAUGGUGAAUAUUUAUUAAUUUACCACAGUUAA